rnacentral:rRNA from 1 species
AGUGAACGCUGGCGGUAGGCCUAACACAUGCAAGUCGAACGGCAGCACAGUAAGAGCUUGCUCUUACGGGUGGCGAGUGGCGGACGGGUGAGGAAUACAUCGGAAUCUACUUUUUCGAGGGGGAUAACGUAGGGAAACUUACGCUAAUACCGCAUACGACCUACGGGUGAAAGCAGGGGAUCUUCGGACCUUGCGCGAUUGAAGGAGCCGAUGUCGGAUUAGCUAGUUGGCGGGGUAAAGGCCCACCAAGGCGACGAUCCGUAGCUGGUCUGAGAGGAUGAUCAGCCACACUGGAACUGAGACACGGUCCAGACUCCUACGGGAGGCAGCAGUGGGGAAUAUUGGACAAUGGGCGCAAGCCUGAUCCAGCCAUACCGCGUGGGUGAAGAAGGCCUUCGGGUUGUAAAGCCCUUUUGUUGGGAAAGAAAAGCAGCAGGUUAAUACCCCGCUGUUCUGACGGUACCCAAAGAAUAAGCACCGGCUAACUUCGUG